rnacentral:rRNA from 1 species
AGAGUUUGAUCCUGGCUCAGAUUGAACGCUGGCGGCAGGCCUAACACAUGCAAGUCGAGCGGCAGCGGGAAAGUAGCUUGCUACUUUUGCCGGCGAGCGGCGGACGGGUGAGUAAUGCCUGGGAAAUUGCCCAGUCGAGGGGGAUAACAGUUGGAAACGACUGCUAAUACCGCAUACGCCCUACGGGGGAAAGCAGGGGACCUUCGGGCCUUGCGCGAUUGGAUAUGCCCAGGUGGGAUUAGCUAGUUGGUGAGGUAAUGGCUCACCAAGGCGACGAUCCCUAGCUGGUCUGAGAGGAUGAUCAGCCACACUGGAACUGAGACACGGUCCAGACCCCUACGGGAGGCAGC